CGGACGGGUGAGUAACACGAAAGAAUUUGCCUUUAGGAAGGGGACAACAACCGGAAACGGUUGCUGAUACCCCAUAUGCAUUCGAGUGAAAUGGAUUUCCGCCUAAAGAGAAGCUUGCGGCUGAUUAGCUUGUUGGUAGGGUAAUGGCUUACCAAGGCCACGAUCAGUAUUUGGUUUGAGAGGACGAUCAGAAACACUGGAACUGAGACACGGUCCAGACUCCUACGGGAGGCAGCAGUACGGAAUUUUACGCAAUGGGCGAAAGCGUGACGGAGCAAUACCGCGUGAGGGAUGACUGCCUAUGGGUUGUAAACCUCUUUUUUCAGGGAGGAAUAAAUGACGUGUACCUGAAGAAUAAGCAUCGGCUAACUCCGUGCCAGCAGCCGCGGUAAGACGGAGGAUGCAAGUGUUAUCCGGAAUCACUGGGCGUAAAGCGUCUGUAGGUGGCUCGACAAGUCAACUGUUAAAUCUUGAAGCUCAACUUCGAAAUCGCAGUCGAAACUAUCGAACUAGAGUAUAGUAGAGGUAAAGGGAAUUUCCAGUGGAGCGGUGAAAUGCGUAGAGACUGGAAAGAACACCGAUGGCGAAGGCACUUUACUGGGCUAUUACUGACACUCAGAGACGAAAGCUAGGGUAGCAAAUGGGAUUAGAUACCCCAGUAGUC
rnacentral:rRNA from 1 species